rnacentral:lncRNA from 1 species
GGAGAGGAAAGUAGUGCAGCGCGGCGCCGCUCCGCCUCCCCCCUCCGCCUCCUGCUCGGCCGGUAGGGUGGUUCCUGCGAAGAGGCUUUUUCCUCGCCUGGGAUCUGGGCAGCGGUCGUAGAGACUCGUGGAGCGUCCGGCGCGAGAUCCAGGGGGGCCUUUUGCUUGAGGAACCCCACUCAAGAAGGGGAGAAAGGAGAAGAGGAGGCCCUAUUUUGUGUUGGAGCGGGGCGGCGGAGGGGUACAGCCCUCUUGGAGGAAAGGCUGUGACUCUGCAGUUCUACGCACACGCUGAGGGAUCCCUCCGCCGCAGAUUAACCCCGACUGCGCCAGGCUGGCCGCCGGGCAGACACGUGGGAAUAAAGCCCCCCUCUUCUUCACCCCGGCCCAGGAGCUGCCUCCUUUACCUUCUGGGUGGUAAAGCUGGGAUUCUGACCACUUUUUAAUUCUGUUCCCUAAAGUCACUGACCCUUGGAACUCCUUGCUUUGGCCGGGGACAAUCUUUGCCAAGGGGGGUUGGGGGGUGGAAAGAGCCUGGAGAUUGGCCGCAGCUCUGCAUCCUGGGAACUGGAGUCCGCAAAUGGAGAAAGUGAGGCACGGUGCCUGGCGCUGUAAAGGGUGGGUUCUUGCCACGUUUGGGGGCCGGAAGAAAGCUGGACGACUCUAAGGUCUUCUAACUCCAAGACCCUUUGGUGCAGAAGUAUUGUCGGUGUCCUCACGAUCCCCAACCAACCACUUCCCUACCAAAACAUCAAUGUAGUGUGUCCCCACCCCAUAUUUAAUUUUCCCGAAAAUCUUCUGAACCUGUCUUUUUUUUCUUCCUUAAACUAAGAUAAAUACUCUGCUACUUGGUUGGAAUAUUGUUAAUCUGGAUAAGACCCUCAAACUCCUGCACUCCAAGUCUGGGAGAUAGGAAGACUAGAAUUUCCUUUCUGCAUAGACUGUAUACAUGGAAUAAACAGGUUGAGAC